UAAAGAUAUAGUAUAAAAUAAUACAUUUCAUUUACACUGAAAAUAUGCUUAACUAUUAGCUGUCUUUAA
rnacentral:tRNA from 1 species